UACGUAGGGGGCGAGCGUUGUCCGGAUUUAUUGGGCGUAAAGCGCGCGUAGGCGGUUACUCAAGUCGGAUGUGAAAGCCCUCGGCUUAACUGAGGAAGUGCACCCGAAACUGAGUAGCUAGAGUACUAAAGAGGGUCGCGGAAUUCCCGGUGUAGAGGUGAAAUUCGUAGAUAUCGGGAGGAACACCGGUGGCGAAGGCGGCGACCUGGUCCGAUACUGACGCUGAGGCGCGAAAGCGUGGGGAGCAAACAGG
rnacentral:rRNA from 1 species